AGCAGCCGCGGUAAUUCCAGCUCCAAUAGCGUAUGUUAAAGUUGUUGCAGUUAAAAAGCUCGUAGUUGAAUUUCGGGAUCAAUUUAUUGGUCGUGCAAUAGUACGUACUGGUAUUAUUGGUUCCUACCUUCUGAUGAACCAUGAUGUCGUUAAUUUGGUGUUAUGGGGAAUCAGGACUGUUACUUUGAGAAAAUUAGAGUGUUUAAAGCAGGCUCACGCUUGAAUACAUUAGCAUGGAAUAAUGAAAUAGGACGUUUGAUUCUAUUUUGUUGGUUUCUAGGAUCGACGUAAUGAUUAAUAGGGAUAGUUGGGGGCAUUAGUAUUCAAUUGUCAGAGGUGAAAUUCUUGGAUUUAUUGAAGACUAACUACUGCGAAAGCAUUUGCCAAGGAUGUUUUCAUUAAUCAAGAAUGAAAGUUAGGGGAUCGAAGACGAUCAGAUACCGUCGUAGU
rnacentral:rRNA from 1 species